AAAUCACAAAAGGCAACACAAAAGCAAAAGCAAACAGCAAAAUUCAAAACAGAAGCUGCUCCAAGCGAAGAGCGACUAAAGCAAAAGCUCAUAAAUAUUUAAUAUUGUGCAUCCUUUGAGCGGAUUUUAUCCAUCCAUGGAUGUCAGGCAAUUGCCAUACACAACAAUUAUUAUAAGAUCGCCAUCAGCAAAACCGCCAACGCCAACGUCAUCGCCAUUGUUGCUACUAUCAGCAGCCAACGGUAAAAGUUCAAAGUGAAUAACAACAACUACAAGAACAACAACAGCAACUUUUGCAGUAGAAGCAGC
rnacentral:sRNA from 1 species